AUCGGCAACGCGACGCUUUGCAGAUCAUUUGAAGACCCCAAAACCAAAAGCCAGCGCCUGCUUGCUUGCAACCUGAGCAGCGCGAGCUCUGUUUGAAAUUAUUUCAGUUGUCAAGGGAACGAACAUUUUCCGUUUACUUUACUGGACGUCGCAGCAGUAGUAUUAGCCACCGCAAUCGUUUUUAGUUAGGCAUUACCAUUAUUUCUGUUGAAAUGUAGGUUUCAGCAUUACAAGUCAGGCUUGAUUAAACAUUAAAUUAGGUUGCUGAAAUAAAUCUCUUCACCUGUCAUGCUGUCUCGAAUGACCUCCUCAUCGAGUUUCUAAUCGAUAUCCGACCUCACUUUUUCUUACCGUUAGCAAGUUAGCUAACGUGUCAAACGUACCCAGCAACCAGGCAUACUGCUCCCGUAAUCAAGUUUCCUGCUGGAGUCGGGCUGUUGAUUCUUGUCUAGCCCAUGAUGACUGGUUGAAAGGACAUUACAAAAUAGGCUACGUCAAUUCACCACAAGUAAAAAUCAGAUCAAC